rnacentral:rRNA from 1 species
UACAGAGGGUGCAAGCGUUAAUCGGAAUUACUGGGCGUAAAGCGUGCGUAGACGGUAGCGUAAGUCGGGUGUGAAAGCCCCGGGCUCAACCUGGGAAUGGCAUUCGAGACUGCUCUGCUAGGGUGCGGAAGAGGGGAGCGGAAUUUCCGGUGUAGCGGUGAAAUGCGUAGAUAUCAGAAGGAACACCAGUGGCGAAAGCGGCUCCCUGGUCCAGCACCGACGUUCAGGCACGAAAGCGUGGGGAGCAAACAGG